AUCAGAUUCCAGAUAAUCUAGCUAUACAAAAUCCGUUCGGAUAUUUUUCUUUGACUGAAUACAAACUCAAGUUUUUUUGGGCUUAGGUUUCAGAUCUAAUCUUAGGUCAGUUACACAUUCUCACGCAUGUCAAAAGUACAAAUCUAUACUAUACUAAAAGCAGCAUAUACUCAAUGGUGAAGCCCUCCACGUCUGCACUAAAAAUCAUCCAAUAAAAAGAUUAUAUUUUGACAUGUCAGACAGCUAUCCAUUGAAGAAAUUAAUUGGGCUUUUCUAUCCACUUUUUCUCGACGAUGACUAUCUCUUUUCUCAAAAACUGUAGGCGAUCAAGCAUCUAUGCAUUUAUGAUAUGCCAUCCGCUCAAGCUUUAAAUCGGGUAUUCAUGCUGCAUAAAAACACCAGCUCUUCAAAAAGAAAAAAAAAACGUCAAUUCUUCGAACGAUUCACUUUGGACGUUUUGUUCUUAACCUUUUUCUCUGACAAUUUUUGUGAAAAUCUGAUGUUAUAACUUAUAAUGUUGUGGGGAUAAGGGAUGGGGAAAUUAACAGCAAGUCUUAGUAAGAAAUUGACUUACAGAUGGUGAACAAGUUCAAACAUUCCAAGGCAGAACAAAACCACUUUGGCCUCGAAAUUACCUUCUUCCCAACUUAAUAUCCACUGCAACCCAAUCGCAGGAAAAGUAAUUGCUUAUAGAUUCAGAUCAGAACUGAUUUGUAGGAUAUGACGAUGAUGGAAUGUUUAUAGGUGCUAUAUAGGUUAUUGAUUACUGGGUAACUAGGUUUUAAUGGUGGCAAGAAUUUUCCUUUAAAAUUGUUGUAGGAUAUGUUCUUUCACAUAUUAAUUGUUUUUGGAUUGGUUAGAUCAAUAUGAUUUGGUUUCCUUAAGUUUCUACUGUUGUUCCUGGUGCACGUUAGUCAUUCUAAAAAUUUUAAGAGGCUUCACUUGAAAGAACGUCCUAAACUGUUCCCUUCUCUAAAAGUAAGAGUCACUUGCAAAACAGAAGGCUGUAGUUCAAGCUUGGAUCACUCCUAAACUUUCCAAUGGAUUCUUAUGUGCUAUUAUUCCUCACACGCCUUACGAACAGAGAAGAAGGCUUAUGGGUUCUUCUUGGAAAUUCAAACAAUAUCUGUUACUUUCAGAAGGUUAGUUUCAUGGAUGAGUCCGAAGCUAUACACACUUCUUCGAGUGCUAUUUUUUGGACAAUAGAAAGCAAGCGUCAGGCAAAGAACAAGGAAGUUAGAGAAGGUUGGAAGCCUGUCAAGAUUAGUUAUGAGGAAACGCUUUGAACCUGCAGAAAAUACUUAUAAUUUGACUUGCUUAUGAGUUCUGCUUAAGAGAUGCUUGGAUCAGUUGUGAUACAAAAUACACAACUGAGUUGAGUAUUUGAAAAGAACCAGUGAUUUGGACUUUGGAGGGUGAAGUUGCAGAAGAAGGUAUGGAGGAGGAAAAAAAAAAAGAUGAUAAUAAAUAGAAUUAUGGAAGCAAAUAUAGCGAGACUUAGAAGAUAAGAAGAAAGAUCAAAGAAAAUAAACAAGAUGGGGUUGAGUUCCACAGAGCGAGAUGGGGUUGAGUUCCAAAGAGCAGGAUGGAUGUUGAGAAACGAGGUGUUAAACUUUCACCGUAGAUUUUGCCUCCAAAAUUUAUACUCUGAUACACAAACUCAAACACUUUAGGCUGUCUUUAGCCUGUUAUUUGUUUUUCAGCUGCUUUCGUAGUCGUUUUGGAUUUUGAUGUUUUGGACAUUCGUCGACUCUCCAAGUUAUGUCUUGAUUUGACU